GAGCAAAGUUGUCUUAUAAUCAGUGACGAUUAUUGCAUUGAAGGUUGGCUAUAUAUUGUUGAACAAAUUGCUACAUU
rnacentral:snoRNA from 1 species